AUUGAACGCUAGCGGGAUGCCUUACACAUGCAAGUCGAACGGCAGCGCGGACUUCGGUCUGGCGGCGAGUGGCGAACGGGUGAGUAAUGUAUCGGAACGUGCCCAGUAGCCGGGGAUAACUACUCGAAAGAGUAGCUAAUACCGCAUACGCCCUACGGGGGAAAGGGGGGGAUCGCAAGACCUCUCACUAUUGGAGCGGCCGAUAUCGGAUUAGCUAGUUGGUGAGGUAAAGGCUCACCAAGGCGACGAUCCGUAGCCGGUUUGAGAGGACGACCAGCCACACUGGGACGGAGACACGACCCGGACUCCUACGGGAGGCAGCAGUGGGGAAUUUUGGACAAUGGGGGCAACCCUGAUCCAGCCAUUCCGCGUGUGCGAUGAAGGCCUUCGGGUUGUAAAGCACUUUUGGCAGGAAAGAAAUCGCACGGAUUAAUACUCUGUGUGGAUGACGGUACCUGCAGAAUAAGCACCGGCUAACUACGUGCCAGCAGCCGCCGUAA
rnacentral:rRNA from 1 species